rnacentral:sRNA from 1 species
AACGCUAUUUAUGCAACAAAGUGAAAAGUAUACUUCGUUACACCCGCUUCACCUUAAGCGCCGUUGUCCUGAAGAGCUACAUCCUUGUCCAUAAGCAAUCCAUUAUGUUGGCAUGAAGCACGCCUCAGGGCGUUAUUGUUCCUAAUAUUUUCAGGAGACAUCCUAUGUCUAAAGCAACUGGUACUGUUAAGUGGUUUAACGACGAGAAAGGUUUUGGUUUCAUCACUCAAGACAACGGCGGUGCAGACGUAUUCGUUCACUUCCGUGCGAUCACUGGUGAAGGCUUCAAAUCUCUGGCUGAAGGUCAGAAAGUGAAGUUCGAUAUCGAGCAAGGCCAAAAAGGUCCUCAAGCUGCUAACGUUGAGCGCGUAUAAGCCCUCUGCGUAAACGAACAUAAUCAAGAGCGCCCUCGUGGCGCUCUUUU